AAAGAUCGCAGCCUGCGGCAGCUCCUACAGGGAAACACGUAUUUCCGUGUAGGAGCUGCCGCAGGCUGCGAUCUUU
rnacentral:antisense_RNA from 1 species